UACAGAGGUCCCGAGCGUUGUUCGGAUUCAUUGGGCGUAAAGGGUGCGUAGGUGGCGCUGUAAGUGGGGUGUGAAAUCCCGGGGCUUAACUCCGGAACUGCAUUCCAUACUGCGAUGCUUGAGGACUGGAGAGGAGACUGGAAUUUACGGUGUAGCAGUGAAAUGCGUAGAGAUCGUAAGGAAGACCAGUGGCGAAGGCGGGGCUCUGGACAGUUCCUGACACUGAGGCACGAAGGCCAGGGGAGCAAACGGG
rnacentral:rRNA from 1 species